AACGAACGCUAGCGGCGUGCCUAACACAUGCAAGUCGAGCGAGAAAAGACUUCGGUCUAAGUAAAGCGGCGCACGGGUGAGUAACACGUGGGUAACGUACCCUCGGGUGGGGGAUAACAGACCGAAAGGUUUGCUAAUACCGUAUCAGACCACAGUCCUCGCGGGGACAGGGGUCAAAGGGGGCUGUCGCAAGGCAGCUCUCGCCUGAGGAUCGGCCCGCGGACCAUUAGCUAGUUGGUAGGGUAACGGCCUACCAAGGCUACGAUGGUUAGCUGGUCUGAGAGGACGAUCAGCCACACUGGGACUGGAACACGGCCCAGACUCCUACGGGAGGCAGCAGUGGGGAAUAUUGGACAAUGGGCGCAAGCCUGAUCCAGCAAUGCCGCGUGUGUGAAGAAGGCCUGCGGGUUGUAAAGCACUUUCAGUGGGGAAGAACAGAUUCGGGUCAAUACCCCGGAGCCCUGACGUUACCCACAGAAGAAGCACCGGCUAACUCCGUGCCAGCAGCCGACGG
rnacentral:rRNA from 1 species